GACGAACCGUACGAACGUUAUUCGGAAUCACUGGGCUUAAAGGGCGCGUAGGCGGAUGGCACAGUCAGAUGUGAAAUUCCCGGGCUUAACCUGGGGGCUGCAUUUGAUACGUGUUGUCUUGAGUUCGGAAGAGGGUCGUGGAAUUCCCAGUGUAGAGGUGAAAUUCGUAGAUAUUGGGAAGAACACCGGUGGCGAAGGCGGCGACCUGGUCCGACACUGACGCUGAGGCGCGAAAGCGUGGGGAGCAAACAGG
rnacentral:rRNA from 1 species